CUACGGGGGGCUGCAGUGGGGAAUAUUGGACAAUGGGGGAAACCCUGAUCCAGCCAUGCCGCGUGAAUGAUGAAGGCCUUCGGGUUGUAAAAUUCUUUUAGUGGGGAAGAUAAUGACGGUACCCACAGAAUAAGCUCCGGCUAACUUCGUGCCAGCAGCCGCGGUAAUACGAAGGGAGCUAGCGUUGUUCGGAAUUACUGGGCGUAAAGGGCGUGUAGGCGGUAAAAUCAGUCAGGUGUGAAAUCCCAGGGCUCAACCCUGGAACUGCGCUUGAUACUGUUUUACUAGAAUUCGGAAGAGGUGAGUGGAAUUCCCAGUGUAGAGGUGAAAUUCGUAGAUAUUGGGAAGAACACCGGUGGCGAAGGCGGCUCACUGGUCCGACAUUGACGCUGAUACGCGAAAGCGUGGGGAGCAAACAGGAUUAGAUACCCCGGUAGUC
rnacentral:rRNA from 1 species